GAAUCUUCCGCAAUGGACGCAAGUCUGACGGAGCAACGCCGCGUGAGUGAUGAAGGUUUUCGGAUCGUAAAACUCUGUUGUUAGGGAAGAACAAGUAUCGGAGUCACUGCCGGUACCUUGACGGUACCUGACGAGAAAGCCACGGCUACCUACGUGCCAGCAGCCGCGGUAAUACGUAGGUGGCAAGCGUUGUCCGGAUUUAUUGGGCGUAAAGCGCGCGCAGGCGGUCUUUUAAGUCUGAUGUGAAAUCUUACAGCUUAACUGUAAGCGGUCAUUGGAAACUGGGAGACUUGAGUGCAGAAGAGGAGAGUGGAAUUCCAUGUGUAGCGGUGAAAUGCGUAGAGAUAUGGAGGAACACUAGUGGCGAAGGCGACUCUCUGGUCUGUAACUGACGCUGAGGCGCGAAAGCGUGGGGAUCAAAC
rnacentral:rRNA from 1 species